rnacentral:tRNA from 1 species
UAAAUUAGAGCUUAAGUAGCAUUUCAUUUACGAUGAGAAGAUCCGUUAGGUAAUUUAA